rnacentral:lncRNA from 1 species
GAUAGAGGAAGCAGACUUGUAGCGUGUUCUGUUGUUAGCUUCUGUUUCAUAUGAGCAAAGAUGUGUUUAAAAUAUAUUUUACUGUUCUAUGUAGUUUGAUUCAUGCACUUUGAUUAUCUCAAUACAAGUUUAAGACUUACAUAUUUUAUGCUUGAAAUAAAAAAGGGUGUAACAUAUACAUAAAUAUAUAAUAGACGGGGUCCUCGGUAGAAGGCCGUUGUCUAAUGCCGAGUGCAAUGGCAUUGAGAUGGGAUUUGAGGAGCGCCGCACAAAGAUGUUCGACAACUGAGCAGGUAACGGCGCAGCUUUUACACAACUCGAAGGGAAAUGAAAAGCGUUAUGGCCACAUACAAGGGUGAGAUUUUCAGAAAAAAGAAAGUACAAAUAAAGUAUUUGACCUGACGCUAUUCA